AGAGUUUGAUCCUGGCUCAGGACGAACGCUGGCGGCGUGCCUAAUACAUGCAAGUCGAACGCUUCUUUUUCCACCGGAGCUUGCUCCACCGGAAAAAGAGGAGUGGCGAACGGGUGAGUAACACGUGGGUAACCUACCCAUCAGAAGGGGAUAACACUUGGAAACAGGUGCUAAUACCGUAUAACAAUCGAAACCGCAUGGUUUUGAUUUGAAAGGCGCUUUCGGGUGUCGCUGAUGGAUGGACCCGCGGUGCAUUAGCUAGUUGGUGAGGUAACGGCUCACCAAGGCGACGAUGCAUAGCCGACCUGAGAGGGUGAUCGGCCACAUUGGGACUGAGACACGGCCCAAACUCCUACGGGAGGCAGCAGUAGGGAAUCUUCGGCAAUGGACGAAAGUCUGACCGAGCAACGCCGCGUGAGUGAAGAAGGUUUUCGGAUCGUAAAACUCUGUUGUUAGAGAAGAACAAGGAUGAGAGUAACUGUUCAUCCCUUGACGGUAUCUAACCAGAAAGCCACGGCUAACUACGUGCCAGCAGCCGCGGUAAUACGUAGGUGGCAAGCGUUGUCCGGAUUUAUUGGGCGUAAAGCGAGCGCAGGCGGUUUCUUAAGUCUGAUGUGAAAGCCCCCGGCUCAACCGGGGAGGGUCAUUGGAAACUGGGAGACUUGAGUGCAGAAGAGGAGAGUGGAAUUCCAUGUGUAGCGGUGAAAUGCGUAGAUAUAUGGAGGAACACCAGUGGCGAAGGCGGCUCUCUGGUCUGUAACUGACGCUGAGGCUCGAAAGCGUGGGGAGCAAACAGGAUUAGAUACCCUGGUAGUCCACGCCGUAAACGAUGAGUGCUAAGUGUUGGAGGGUUUCCGCCCUUCAGUGCUGCAGCUAACGCAUUAAGCACUCCGCCUGGGGAGUACGACCGCAAGGUUGAAACUCAAAGGAAUUGACGGGGGCCCGCACAAGCGGUGGAGCAUGUGGUUUAAUUCGAAGCAACGCGAAGAACCUUACCAGGUCUUGACAUCCUUUGACCACUCUAGAGAUAGAGCUUCCCCUUCGGGGGCAAAGUGACAGGUGGUGCAUGGUUGUCGUCAGCUCGUGUCGUGAGAUGUUGGGUUAAGUCCCGCAACGAGCGCAACCCUUAUUGUUAGUUGCCAUCAUUUAGUUGGGCACUCUAGCAAGACUGCCGGUGACAAACCGGAGGAAGGUGGGGAUGACGUCAAAUCAUCAUGCCCCUUAUGACCUGGGCUACACACGUGCUACAAUGGGAAGUACAACGAGUCGCAAAGUCGCGAGGCUAAGCUAAUCUCUUAAAGCUUCUCUCAGUUCGGAUUGUAGGCUGCAACUCGCCUACAUGAAGCCGGAAUCGCUAGUAAUCGCGGAUCAGCACGCCGCGGUGAAUACGUUCCCGGGCCUUGUACACACCGCCCGUCACACCACGAGAGUUUGUAACACCCGAAGUCGGUGAGGUAACCUUUUGGAGCCAGCCGCCUAAGGUGGGAUAGAUGAUUGGGGUGAAGUCGUAACAAGGUAGCCGUAUCGGAAGGUGCGGCUGGAUCACCU
rnacentral:rRNA from 1 species